rnacentral:rRNA from 1 species
AUUGAACGCUGGCGGCAGGCCUAACACAUGCAAGUCGAGCGGAUGAAGAGAGCUUGCUCCUGGAUACAGCGGCGGACGGGUGAGUAAUGCCUAGGAAUCUGCCUGGUAGCGGGGGAUAACGUCCGGAAACGGGCGCUAAUACCGCAUACGUCCUGAGGGAGAAAGUGGGGGAUCUUCGGACCUCACGCUAUCAGAUGAGCCUAGGUCGGAUUAGCUAGUUGGUGGGGUAAAGGCCUACCAAGGCGACGAUCCGUAACUGGUCUGAGAGGAUGAUCAGUCACACUGGAACUGAGACACGGUCCAGACUCCUACGGGAGGCAGCAGUGGGGAAUAUUGGACAAUGGGCGAAAGCCUGAUCCAGCCAUGCCGCGUGUGUGAAGAAGGUCUUCGGAUUGUAAAGCACUUUAAGUUGGGAGGAAGGGCAGUAAGUUAAUACCUUGCUGUUUUGACGUUACCAACAGAAUAAGCACCGGCUAACUUCGUG